UUUUCUAUGUAUGUUUUACACYAGGGUCCUGAUGAUUUUGCAGCUUGGGUGGUAUUUGUGGAUCCAUUUUCUGCCUAUCUAAUCCAAAGGGUGAGAAUUGGGAGUUCCUGGGUAAGAUUAUCUUCUACUGCUGCCUCUCUACAUUGCCAGUACCAUGGAGAUCCAAACUUCAGCUGAGCCCUCACCAGCUGUCUGAAGAUGGCACACCCUGAUUGCUGCAGCUUCCRGAUUAAAAAUAGAAGAGAAAGAUUGACGGAUGCUAUUGCUUUGUUCGUAUAAAGCUGAAUGAAACUAGCUGUGUCUUCUCCAGCAAAGYGAGAAACUGCAGAGCCUCCCACCCUGGUGAGAUAGUCUAGGUUAUCCAAUGGAUCUUUCCAUUCAGGGGGAUGAAAACUGGACUUUUACCUUGGGAAACCUCAGUUCCUUCUUCCCUCAGACAAUCCCCAAUGAGAUCCUACUCUGAAGGGUGAGUAUUAAGGGCAUCUGUGCUCAGGGUGGUGGAGGACAAGUGUCCUCACGAGGUCCUGCACAGCCUAGCAGAUGCAGGGCUGAGGUGGGACAUCGCUCCAGGCAAGCGGCAAAGAGAACAGAAAUAUCAGCUGAAAACAAAACGUCCCUGGAAAAGARCUCAGAAUUUUUAGACAACCUCAGUUGGAUUCUUUAAUCUCGUUUUUCUUUCGGUCUGAAAAAUCCCCCAAGUGAGAAUUGUGGCUCAGGCAAACAAAAUAGUUGCCCACAACUCUGCCUGCGAGUCGCUCGGAAAGCAGGGAAUGCUGCAGAAAUCCGAGCUGUCGCUCUUCCAGGAAUUAUAUUCGACCAUUUUUGAACACCCUCUGCUCCACCGCAGACACCGCGAUCUGUACAAACUGUGUGUGUUUUGGCAAAAAUAGAACAAUUCCUGCAAAACAGAUAUUAAGCACACUUCUCAGCUAACAAAAGAGCUAUCAGCAUGUGUCAAAGUAAUAGAGAGGAAAGACAUAAGGAAAUGGCACUAAGCUGGAUAGCAUUCUUAGCAGCUAAUUGGAUAGCAGGAACCCAGACUUGGGGCAGUAUCCUUGGUUUUUAAAAUGGUGCAUGGAGAAUUAAGCAUUAAUUGGAAAGRGAGUCAUCACAAAGCAGAAAAAGCAAACCCUCACGCACCGCUAUGAAAAUGUAAGUUUAAGAAUAGUAACAGCCAGCAGAGAUAUAAUUAGGUUCACUUGUGGCCUUAUCUGCAAACUGUGCUGAACGUGGAGUCGUUAAAAGAAAUCCCACAGCAAAAGAGAACGCCUGCCCCGUACUAAGCUCUUUAAAUGCUGUACCGUAAUUAGGCUUACAGAUGUUUUAAGGAUAUGCAUGCAGGAAUCGUCAGGUCUUUAAUUAUAGGUAGACCUGUGUGU